UACGGAGGAGGCAAGCGUUAUCCGGAAUUAUUGGGCGUAAAGCGUCCGCAGGUGGCACUUCAAGUCUGCUGUCAAAGACCGGGGCUUAACCCUAGAAAGGCAGUGGAAACUGAAGUGCUAGAGUGCAGUAGGGGUAGAGGGAAUUCCCGGUGUAGCGGUGAAAUGCGUAGAGAUCGGGAAGAACAUCGGUGGCGAAAGCGCUCUGCUGGACUGCAACUGACACUCAGGGACGAAAGCUAGGGGAGCGAAUGGG
rnacentral:rRNA from 1 species